rnacentral:rRNA from 2 species
AUUAGCGGCGGACGGGUGAGUAACACGUGGGCAACCUGCCUAUAAGACUGGGAUAACUUCGGGAAACCGGAGCUAAUACCGGAUACGUUCUUUUCUCGCAUGAAAGAAGAUGGAAAGACGGUUUACGCUGUCACUUAUAGAUGGGCCCGCGGCGCAUUAGCUAGUUGGUGAGGUAAUGGCUCACCAAGGCGACGAUGCGUAGCCGACCUGAGAGGGUGAUCGGCCACACUGGGACUGAAACACGGCCCAGACUCCUACGGGAGGCAGCAGUAGGGAAUCUUCCGCAAUGGACGAAAGUCUGACGGAACAACGCCGCGUGAACGAAGAAGGCCUUCGGGUCGUAAAGUUCUGUUGUUAGGGAAGAACAAGUACCAGAAUAACUGCUGGUACCUUGACGGUACCUAACCAGAAAGCCACGGCUAACUACGUGCCAGCAGCCGCGGUAAUACGUAGGUGGCAAGCGUUGUCCGGAAUUAUUGGGCGUAAAGCGCGCGCAGGUGGUUCCUUAAGUCUGAUGUGAAAGCCCACGGCUCAACCGUGGAGGGUCAUUGGAAACUGGGGAACUUGAGUGCAGAAGAAGAAAGUGGAAUUCCAAGUGU